rnacentral:rRNA from 1 species
CAGCAGCCGCGGUAAUACAGAGGGUGCAAGCGUUAAUCGGAAUUACUGGGCGUAAAGCGCGCGUAGGUGGUUUGUUAAGUCGGAUGUGAAAUCCCCGGGCUCAACCUGGGAACUGCAUCCGAAACUGGCAAGCUAGAGUAUGGUAGAGGGUAGUGGAAUUUCCUGUGUAGCGGUGAAAUGCGUAGAUAUAGGAAGGAACACCAGUGGCGAAGGCGACUACCUGGACUGAUUCUGACACUGAGGUGCGAAAGCGUGGGGAGCAAACAGGAUUAGAUACCCGCGUAGUCCCUGUCUCUUAUAA